rnacentral:rRNA from 1 species
ACGAAUUCAUGGUCCGGUGAAGUGUUCGGAUCACGGCCACGCAUGAAGUUUGCCAUCUAUGAUGUCACGAGAAGUCUACUGAACCUUAUCAUUUAGAGGAAGGAGAAGUCGUAACAAGGUUUCCGUAGGUGAACCUGCGGAAGGAUCAUUG